rnacentral:rRNA from 1 species
GUGGCAUGCUUAAUACAUGCAAGUCGAACGGUAACAGGUUCUUCGGAAUGCUGACGAGUGGCGGACGGGUGAGUAAUACAUAGGAAUCUGCCCAUGUAGUGGGGGAUAACUUGAGGAAACUCAAGCUAAUACCGCAUAAGUCCUACGGGAGAAAGAGGGCCUCUACUUGUAAGCUCUUGCUAUUGGAUGAGCCUAUGUCGGAUUAGUUAGUUGGUAAGGUAAUGGCUUACCAAGACUGCGAUCCGUAGCUGGUUUGAGAGGAUGAUCAGCCACACUGGGACUGAGACACGGCCCAGACUCCUACGGGAGGCAGCAGUAGGGAAUAUUGGACAAUGGGCGCAAGCCUGAUCCAGCAAUGCCGCGUGUGUGAAGAAGGCCUGCGGGUUGUAAAGCACUUUCAAUUGGGAAGAAAAGUUUAGAGUUAAUACCUCUUAAAUAUUGACGUUACCAAUAGAAGAAGCACCGGCUAACUCUGUGCCAGCAGCCGCGGUAAUACAGAGGGUGCGAGCGUUAAUCGGAAUUACUGGGCGUAAAGAGUACGUAGGUGGUCAAAUNAGUCGGAUGUGAAAGCCCCAAGCUUAACUUGGGAAUUGCNUUCGAUACUAUUUGACUAGAGUACGGUAGAGAGAAGCGGAAUUCCUAGUGUAGCGGUGAAAUGCGUAGAUAUUAUGAAGAACACCAGUGGCGAAAGCGGCUUCUU